rnacentral:rRNA from 1 species
AGGAUAAACGCUGGCGGCGUGCCUAACACAUGCAAGUCGAACGCUCUUUUCCUUCGCAAGAGGGGGGAGGGAGUGGCGGACGGGUGAGGAACACAUGGGUGACCUACCUUUCAGUGAGGAAUACCGGCGAGAAAUCGCCGACAAGACCGCAUGAGCUUCUCUCGGUGAGCGAGGGAAGGAAAGCUCUUUUUCGCGAAAACGGAGAGGGGCGCUGGAAGAUGGGCCUGUGGCCGAUUAGCUAGUUGGUGAGGUAACGGCUCACCAAGGCGACGAUCGGUAGCUGGUCUGAGAGGACGAUCAGCCACACUGGGAUUGAGAACGGCCCAGACUCCUACGGGGGGCAGCAGUGAGGAUUUUCCGCAAUGGGCGCAAGCCUGACGGAGCAACGCCGCGUGCAGGAAGACGGUUUUCGGAUCGUAAACUGCUUUUCUCGGGGUACGAGAACGGACGGUACCCGAGGAAUCGAGCCCCGGCUAACGUACGCGCCAGCAGCCGCGGU